rnacentral:rRNA from 1 species
UACAGAGGUCUCAAGCGUUGUUCGGAUUCAUUGGGCGUAAAGGGCGCGUAGGCGGCCAGCACAAGUCAGUUGUGAAAUCUCCGAGCUUAACUCGGAAAGGUCAACUGAUACUGUGCGGCUAGAGUGCGGAAGGGGCAACUGGAAUUCUUGGUGUAGCGGUGAAAUGCGUAGAGAUGUGGAGGAACACCGAUGGCGAAGGCAGCCUUCUGGGCCAACACUGACGCUCAUGCACGAAAGCGUGGGGAGCAAACAGG